rnacentral:lncRNA from 1 species
CGCAGACGCGUCGGGCGGCGGCGAUGCCCGCCCCGUCCUCGCGGGGGCCUCCCGCCUCCGGUUGGGCUCGGUCAAGCCGCGGUGCCCUGGCUCCCCGGCGGCCUGGCGCGCUCCUCCUUUUCCCCAGUUGCUUCUAGAGCCCAGGCCCCGCCCGUUUCCCGCCCCAGCCCGCCUCUCUCCUCUGCGCCCUGCUGCUUCUGCUGAAGGCGGAGGAUCCAUGUUGUCCCCUCAGCGAGCGGUAGCGGCUGCCUCGGGAGGAGCAGGCUCUUUGGAAUCUGUCCGCUAUUUGAAAUUGCCAGAAGUAAUCACUUGUGAAAUAAAUCUAAAAGAAAAGAAGAACAGUGUUUGAAGAAUCUUUUAGUAGGUAAAUCUCAGUCCUCAGACUUGACUACGAAGUUGGUGGGAAUGUAUUGUGGGAGGCCGAAAGAAACGAAACAGGAGUCCCUUCCCCUCCCCCGGACAAACGAAAAAAUUCCGUGCGACUCCACAUUGUCUUGCUUUUAAGGAAACAUAGUUGAGAAAUAGCCUACGUCGUUAUUCUAACAUGUGUCCAGUAUUCAACAUUGCAAGAUAGCACUGAGAUUAAAUCAGUGCUUUUUUCCAGCCUUACAGAAACUGGCUUGUAGUGUACAAAUUAGGAUUGCUGCUUUAACACCUGAAAAGGAAAAAAAACACAGAUGAACAAGAUUUCCACGUCAUGAAGCAUCACACUAGUACAUGUUUGACUAGCUACUGUUUACUAUCUUAAUAGAGGAUAACCGAUGGUGUGUACUAACAAUUUUCUUAGUUUUCACUAAAUAACGUUUAUUUAGAAUAUGCCUUUUAAAAGGUCUACUUAAAAGAAUGGGUUUUCUGUGGUGCAGCACACAUUUUUGGUAGCAAUCAGAAUAAAGAAUAUGCCUACAUUGAUUAAAAUGAUGUAAUAUAGAAUUGCAUGAAGCAAGAAAUAGUCUCCAAGUCCCCAGUUCUCCAAAUGUAUCCAUUAUCAACAGUUUGGCUACAUAAUCUUUUAAGAUUCCCAUGAAGUUCCUAAGAGAACCCAAGG